rnacentral:rRNA from 1 species
UACGGGGGGGGCAAGCGUUGUUCGGAAUUACUGGGCGUAAAGGGCUCGUAGGUGGCCAACUAAGUCGGACGUGAAAUCCCUCAGCUUAACUGGGGAACUGCGUCCGAUACUGGAUGGCUUGAGUUUGGGAGAGGGAUGCGGAAUUCCAGGUGUAGCAGUGAAAUGCGUUGAUAUCAGGAGGAACACCCAUGGCGAAGGCAGCUAACUGGGCAUUAUCUGACGCUGAGGCGCGAAAGCGUGGGUAGCAAACAGG